rnacentral:tRNA from 1 species
AGGACUUUAGCGGGGGGGGGGGGGGGGCUUAGUUCAUAGAUGUAAAAUGGUUGUUGCAAGUCCGA